GUGGCGCCCACAAUUUUUAUGCUAGAUACAAAAUUUUAACUGAAAUAUAUUGAUAUCGUCAAUACCUAUACAUCAGAGCUCGCAAAUAACUGUCGACCGUUUCUCGUUGUCUGAAAAUAAGUGUCUUUUCCUGACUCUUUACGAAAAGACUCAGAGAGCAACCGAUUUAUGGGUUCUUGAAUGAGCUCGCUCGCGCUCAGAGCGAAACCUUUUUUUUCUAUUCUGUUUUGUUAUGGUUGUUCCAGGACCGUUUUGUCCUGUUCAGGUGAGGCAAACGGUCUUUUGCGUAUGUAUUGGUAUACACUCACACGCAUAGGCAAGCAAAUCGUUAAUCGUCGGUUUUGCAGCCGAAAUAUAUUAAUUGCAGUCGUGAACUGAGUGUGUGAAGUUGUGCAAUUAUUUUGUUCUGUAAAAUGGGAAGAGAAUUGAAUAAAAAAGUGCACCAAUUCUUUAAAUUUAAUUUGGAAGAGAACAAGUCAAUUUGUAGUGUUUGUGGUAUUAAAUUGUCCGGCAAUCAUUCAACAAACCUUAGACGGCAUUUAACAACGAAACAUAUGGACAUUUUUAAUGAGUGCAACAAUUCUGGACAUUCACAAUCGACCCAAUGUGAAGAAAAACGAAGAACAUCGUAUCAAACGAGCGAAGAAGCAAUUGUUUCUUCUUUGAUUAAAAUAGUAACCACGGACGGAAAACCAUUUAUAUUUCUAGACAGUGAAGGGUUCAAAGAAAUUAUGGACCCAAUAUAUAAUGCACUUGGCAUGAACCCCGUAACGUCUCGAAAUAUUAUGAAUUUUGUGUCAGUCAAAGACCAGUUUGUCAAAGAAAACAUAGGGGCUCUUGUGAAGGGAAAGCUGGUGUCCUUGAAAAUCGAUGUGAUGGAUAAAGCCAUUCUGGGAAUAAAUUUGCAAAUGGUCCACGCAAGCCUGGCUAAAACCGAGAUUAUUGUAAAGACUUUAGGCAUGAUUGAGCUCGGGGGAUCUCACACUGGAAUAUACAUGAAGAACAAAAUUCUAGAAGUCUUAGAUGAUAAUGGAAUAUCACUAGAUCAAAUCUACAGCGUCUGAUAAUGGGCGAAACAUGAUAAAGGCCGUCCAAGUGUUAAAUGAUGCCACAGAGGAAUCCCUUUUUGAAGAAGACACAGAAAGUGAGAAUCAUCUGAAUGAACUGGAUACUAUUGAACUUGCUAAUAUACACCUUGUGAGAUGUGCAGCACACACUUUGCAACUGUGCAUAUUCGAUGUAAACAAGGCAAAGGAGAUCGCCGAUAAAAUAAGUUCCUGUCGCACAUUAUGCAAAUCGCUGCGCACAGAAACAUAUAGACGUAUCUUAAUUGAGAACCAAAGAAACCUACCAUCGCUCGACGUUGCUACAAGGUGGAAUUCAACCUAUUUAAUGCUAAAAAGAUUAUUGGACCUAAAGGAUUUCCUGGCUACGCAGUCUUAUAUUUGUGUAGAUCCCGAUUGGGAUUGGAUCGACACGUACAUUGACGCUUUCAGUGAUACAUACCAGGCAACCCUAAAGCUACAAGAUAAAAACUUAGUUUAUAGUGAGUUCUUCGUAGUAUGGAUGAAACUAAAAUUGAAAUGCGAGAAUAGCCACAAUUUGAUUAAAAAAAAACUAUCGGCACAGAUAAAAAUAAGAGAAAGUAAGCUGUUAGAAAAUGAAGCAUUGUUGGCAGCGAUUUACAUGGAUCCUCGGGUAAAUUGCAUGUUGACGAACUACCAGAAAUCGUUAGCAAAGGCUAAUUUAAAAAAAAAUAGCUUUUCGUUUAUUUGAGUUGAAACAAGUAAGCCUGUAUGUCGUAGAAUGUUUGAAAUUUGGGUCCUGUUUUGUUUAUGUUGUAAUUUUAAGAAACUAUGUUAAUAAUUAAGAUUGUCUUCGUCAAAUACUAAUACUUGUACUAAACUAAAAUCCAAAAAACAUUUCAUACUUAUAGCUUUGUUAUUUAAGGCACAAACACCAAAUGUUCCGGCGCUCGAAACUCCUGUGCGUGAAGAGAUGUUUGACUCCUCAUUCUCGUCAACUCUUUCAACCGCAUCCUCAUCUGAAGAGAAGUCGCUGUUCUCGGCAUUUUUGGACGAUUUUCAGACAGUGUCAGAAAGCAAAAAAGAUCCUGUUUCUGCAAAACUUGUCAAAAUUUAUGCUGACAUCGAAAACUUCGACGUUACUUUUGGGCGCUUGCCAUUAAAUUCAAAUAUAUUGGAAUUUUUAAUGACUUGCAGCGUAAGCUUCCUCAUAUAAGUGCACUAGCGCAAGUUGUGCUGGCGACACCUGCAACGCAAGUUUCCGUCGAACGAGCAUUCUCAGCCUUACACUUUAUAUUAAGUGAACGAAGAAGUUCGAAUAGUGCAGAGAAUCUGAACGCCUUACUAGUUAUAAAGCUUAACACAUAAUAUAUAAAAAAUGUUACAAAAAUAUAUAUGGGCAUUUCCACGGGUCGCGAACGUACGUUCGAACGCGUUUAAUGCAAAAAAAAUGUAAAAACAACAUUCUGAAACUUUUUAUUGCUUUUGAUAUCAAUUUGUUAUAUGGAAUAUGGAAUCGAAAUGGAACUUG